rnacentral:tRNA from 2 species
UAGAUAGAUGCUCGCUGGUUUGAGUGCUUAGCUGUUAACUAAGAAUUGAAAGGAUCGAGGCCUUUCUAUCUAG